rnacentral:lncRNA from 10 species
UAUAUUUUUUGCCCUGGGCUUUGAGAUACUGCUUCAACUUGAGCUUUUGGGGAACUAAUUAGUGUUUCAACAGGCUGCUGUGUGGAUUCAAUGGCUUAUCUAUGGUGUUCUUCACAAGGUUUCCAAGUUUCCUAAAGAACAGAUGUCCUGAAGGUUUGACUGUUGGUCCAGGUCCUUUGGUUUCUCCAUAUUCUUUACACAGUGCUUCUGCCUUUGCAUACACUGCAUGUGAAAGAGAUUUAAAGUCUUUUGAUUAUAAUUAACACUGCCUAUUUAUCCCUACAAGGCUUUAAACUGGAGGUGAUAAGACAUUUACUGCUCUUUACCUAAUAUAAUAGCAAUACCAAUAAUAAUACUGUAAGUAGAAGGUGUGUAUUUUCUACAGGUUCUAGGUUUCUGAAACAUUUUUUUCUUUUCUCCAAUUAUGUCACCCAUUCCCAUUUCCCUUUCAUGAACUCAGCCAAAAUCUCUUUAAGCAUAUAUUCCCUUUUAUGAUAAAGUCAUUUGUUUUUUAAAGGGGAGUUAAUAUUCUGGCAGGAAAACUUACAUUUUUCUGCUUCUUGGAGAGACCUGAUUGCUUCACCGCAUUUAUCACUAGCCAAUAAAGUCUCACCAUGGUAACAGUAAGCCUGAUGAAAUAAACAAAUUUUUUAUUCAUUCUCUCCCUUCAAGAUGCUUUCCCCUAUUGUUUUAUGUAUCUAUCAGAUAAAUUAGUACCUUCAUACACUGAAGUAUCAAUGCAAUCCCUUACAUUUUAGCUCUUCCCCAACCUUUGUUCAUAGAAAAGGUGGAAAUAUGUCAAGUCUUGAGCCCAAACAGCCUUCUAACCAUGUACUGAGAAAAAGUUAUUUGCUGAAAUCUGUAUUUAAAAUUAGGAAAUAGUAGAUAAAGGAGGAAAUUAUUGUGCUAAUGCAUAGGAAGAAGGAGGUAUAAGAAAUAUUAUCUACUCAGACCUGAAAAAGGUUUCUGAUGAUCUCUCAUAUGAUAUUCUAAUUAACAAAACAAUUAAGUUUGGUGGGUAUAACAGACUGAUACGUAACUUCCAAAAUGAUGUUUAUUGAUGGUUCUUCACUAAGCUAGGUGAUAUAUUGUGUGAUAUGCCUUAAUAUUAGAAUUAGUAAAUAUGUUUCUCAAUGCACAGGAUGAAACAAUUGAAAGAAUUUCAUUAAGUAUGCUGCAAGUGGGUUUUCAAUCAAACAAUAAUUCUAUUGCUAUAAUCCACUUCUACAAUCCUACAUCAUCUCUUUCCACCCACUUUAGUUCACAAUGGUUGCACUGACUCUCAGUGAACAUUUACUGAGAGUUAGCUGUCCAUUAUUUGUAAAAUGCUAAUGAAAGACUCUGGUGAGAUGAGAGACCUGGCACUCCAAGGGCUGGAGAAACAAUAAUUUACAUUGUUUUUAGCGUUGUGAAUACUUACAUAAGCUGUGUAGAAACACAUCUUCAAGUGAAGAUAUUUUCUCCAUUUGGCAGAAUAUGCAGGCUCCAAACUGGAUAAAGUAUGAUCUAAAGUUACAUUUUAAAAAGCAAAAUAUAAUUUCGCCCUGAUUCACUAGAAGACUUUUAGUUCAUGUGUUCUGAUGAUAAAAGCAGAAAGAAUGCCAUUCAAGUCUAAAACUCAAGAAUUUAAUUUUUUUUUAAAAACACCUUUACUUGAUUUUACCAAAUCUAUACUUUAAGUUACAUAAGAUUGGUUAAAUACUAUGGCAGCUCUUUGAUUUGAUGGUUAAUACAACUUUAAGUUAAAGAUAAUGAUAAAAACAGAUUGUGACCAAGAACUUCAAGGUGAAUACUGUUUAUACCGUUAUAUUAGCUAAUUUAAAAAACUUAUAUAAUAUAGCAAAACAAAUAGUAGUCUAGUCACUCAAAUCAGAAAUAGGAUACUCUCCUCUCUACCCCCAUCACUGAAUUUUAUGUGAAACACACACACAUUCACUCACAUAUCCUUCUACCAAACAUCUCUCAAAUCUAUUUUUUCCUAUUUGCUACGUUGCUGUAUUUGCCAAAGCUUUCAUCAUUUCCUUCAUAAACUUUAAGAAUUUCUUAAGUGCUAAGUUAAGUUAGCCUAUUACUCCUUCAUGUAGCAAGCCUAUCUCUAAUACUGCAACUAUAGGGACCUUUCUUAAAUUCAAAUCCAAUCAAGUCAGGCUUUUAAUGUAGAUACAUUCCCAAGUAUCUACAGAAUGGCUUACAAACCAGUGUUUGAUUCCAAGCAUGCAUACUUUUUCAAACUCUUCUCCUACCACUCAUCCUGUGUUUCAGGUCACUGUCUGAAGUUUCCAGAAUGUGCUAAGUUCUUUCUUAUGUCUGUACUUACUAUAGAAUUCUACACCCAAACUCUAAAGCUUCCUAGGGAACAUAAGACUUUUAUUUACACUUCACAAUAAGGCUAAAGCAUCUUCUUCUAGAGUCCUUCUUUAGCAUGCCCAGCUUGUUAAGGUUCCUAAUUCGCCGCUGUGAUGUCUUACUUCAGGAUAUAAUAACGGGGUUACAUGUUUGUCUUCUUCCCUAAACUGCAGAUCUUUUCUAUUUACCUCUCCUUAGCAACAAAAACAGUAACUAUCCCAUAAAUAAAAACACAUGCAUGUUUCCUAAAUAAGUAAAUGAAGAGUAAUAGGCUUAUCACAGGAGCUGUGUUCUACGCCCAAUCUCCCACUUUCUAGCAGUUGAAUUAUGGGUCAUGUUAACUCUCUGGAUUUUGGAUUCUUGUCUAAAGCAUAGUAACUAUAAGGUUGUUAUAAACACUAAAAAAAAAUUUUAAGCAAAAAAGCUGUAUAAUUUUAUGAGACAUCACUGGUUUUCCCCUCCAUUAGAAGUUAUGCAGCAUACUAAACAUGAACAGCUCUAUUUUAAAUGCAAUAAAUAAAAUAUUACUCCAGUUUUGCAAAUAAUGACAGAAUCUGAGAACCCUUUUGUUUUGUUCCCUAUUCAAGAUCAAAUAAAUCUGAAAAUCUAAAGACUAAAAAUGUAACGACAGAAUUAGAAGCUUACCAGCUUUUUGAUAGAAAUUGGCUGUUUCAUACGCCAGUGCAGCAAUUAGUCCAGGAGCAUGUUUUAGUUCAAUUGCUCGAGCAAUUGUUACUGUAACCAAACACAAUAAAGUGAAUCUAUAAUUAAGCUCACUUUAUUCAUCCUAAAUUCAAUUAUAAUAGCAAAAGACAGUCUGAUAAUCUCUCUGGGAUUUUAAUACAGUUUGUUAAACGUUUUAACGUGCAAACUUAUAGAAAAUGCAAACAUUAACAAAAAAACACUGAGUUUGUUGGUUCCAAUGCCAUUUCUUUAAAUAAAUCAUCAGCAAAUUACCAGCUAAUCAUAGAGAAUCACUUGAACCGGGAGGCAGAGGUUGCAGUGAGCCAAGAUCGCAUCACUGCACUCCAGCCCGGGCGACAGUGCAAGACUCUGUCUCAAAGAAAAAAAACCCCACUACAAUUCUACAUCUAAUUCAGGAUCAGAGCUUUCUAAUCACUAUAAAAGCAUCUUAUAUUUUAAUAUGAAAAAAAUCAACACUGGCCUCUAGGAGGCCUUCAAUAAAGUGAUUUAAUUAGAAUGACGUAGGGGGACAUUGUUUAAAAGACACAAUAUUCUUUCUCCUAAUUCCCAUCACAUCUCCUGGCAAUUUAAUACAAUUAGAGUGCACUGAUUGUCACUCUAAAGUUUUUAGUGAGAUACAGAGCAUACACUCAGAAGUUCAGUUUUGCAGAAUCAGGACUGCUCCUGGUAACUUCUGUGGAGAGCAAUGAGGUAGGUAAGAACCAUCAAUACUUCUACUUUCUUUUCUCCUGUCUUUUCAAAGACACAGAAAAAUAAGCAGAGCACUAAAACUUAAGUUUUCUAAUUGUAAAAGUCACUGGUGAUUUUAAAACAAAAAUGGAGACAUUUAAUAUUUAGUAACUGGCUGCACUCAUCAAUAACAUACUUAACAUAAGGAAAACAGAACACAUAGUACCUUUUUUAAUAUAAUGAAACAAUUCUUUCCCCAUAUCCUCCCAAAAGAAAAAUUAUUCAAGAAUUAAAGCAUUAAGAAC